GACUAACUGUAAACAGAGUGGUAAAGCGUCUCACUCGUAUGUUACGAAAUGAGAAGAUCGAUAGUUCGAUUCUGUCAGUGGGCA